rnacentral:rRNA from 1 species
UACAGAGGGUGCAAGCGUUAAUCGGAAUUACUGGGCGUAAAGCGUGCGUAGACGGUUAUCUAAGUCGGGUGUGAAAGCCCCGGGCUCAACCUGGGAACUGCAUUUGUGACUGCAUCGCUGGAGUACGGCAGAGGGGGAUGGAAUUCCGCGUGUAGCAGUGAAAUGCGUAGAUAUGCGGAGGAACACCGAUGGCGAAGGCAAUCCCCUGGGCCAACACUGACGCUCAUGCACGAAAGCGUGGGGAGCAAACAGG